AUUGAACGCUGGCGGCAGGCCUAACACAUGCAAGUCGAACGAGUGGCGGACGGGUGAGUAAUGUCUGGGAAACUGCCCGAUGGAGGGGGAUAACUACUGGAAACGGUAGCUAAUACCGCAUACCAUCGGAUGUGCCCAUAUGGGAUUAGCUUGUUGGUGGGGUAACGGCUCACCAAGGCGACGAUCCCUAGCUGGUCUGAGAGGAUGACCAGCCAAAUGUGAAAUUAGACACGGCCCAGAUUCCGACGGGCGGCAGAUGUGGGGAAUAGUGCACAAGGGUCGCAAGCCUGAUGCAGCAAGGCCGCGUGUAGUAAGAAGGCCUUCGGGUUUUAAAGUACUUUCAGCGGGGAGGCGUUACCCGCAGAAGAAGCACCGGCUAACUCCGUGCCAGCAGCCGCGGUAAUUC
rnacentral:rRNA from 1 species